rnacentral:tRNA from 1 species
GCAGUAGUGGCCGAGUGGUUAAGGCGAUGGACUAGAAAUCUAUUGGGGUCUCCCCGAACAGGUUCGAACAUUUUUUGCA